rnacentral:rRNA from 1 species
AUUGAACGCUGGCGGCAUGCCUUACACAUGCAAGUCGAACGGCAGCACGGGGGCAACCCUGGUGGCGAGUGGCGAACGGGUGAGUAAUACAUCGGAAUGUACCCAGUAGUGGGGGGAUAACUAGUCGAAAGAUUAGCUAAUACCGCAUACGCACUAUGGUGGAAAGCGGGGGAUCGCAAGACCUCGCGCUAUUGGAGCAGCCGAUGUCCGAUUAGGUAGUUGGUGGGGUAAAGGCCUACCAAGCCUGCGAUCGGUAACUGGUCUGAGAGGACGACCAGUCACACUGGGACUGAGACACGGCCCAGACUCCUACGGGAGGCAGCAGUGGGGAAUUUUGGACAAUGGGGGAAACCCUGAUCCAGCAAUGCCGCGUGUGUGACGAAGGCCUUCGGUUGU